AAGGCACACAGAGAGGCUCCUUUGUAAUGACUUCCAGUUCUGGCCUGUACGUUCCCCUCCAGGACCCUCGCCAACUCCACCGCAAAGGCCCAAGGCAGGUGCUUCCAGAAUGGUCUCCUGACAAGCCUGCGGACACCUCCCCCUCCAAGUUCCAUGCGUCCCUCCCCAGGCUCCUGCCAACGAUACUCUGGGUGGUGGAGUUACUGUCCUCCCCUGAAUUUCCGGCUUAGGACAGAACAGCGGGGAGGGCCCCGGGCACGUCUAUAGGAACCACACCCUCCGUGGAAGGUAUAAAGGGAAAGGCUGGCACUGACCACCCCCACCACCUGCUGUGACGAUGAAACCCGGCAGCCUCCUCCCCUUCAUGGUGCUCCUUGCCCUCCAAAUCCUCAAAUCCUGGGCUGCGGAAGAUGCUAGCAAAGAAAACGCCAAGCACGGAGACUGCCCCUUCACACCUCCUGUGAUGUGCUUGAACCCCCUCAGUGCCGGAGCGACUGGCAGUGUCCAAAGGAGCAGAAAUGCUGUCGUGAAUAUUGUGGCAUCAAAUGUGUGGAUCCUGUAGACCCAUCAAAGCCUGUUAUGGUCAAUCCUGGGAAAUGUCCAGUGGUCACUGAGCAGUGCAAGAGGCCCAACCCCAGGGACUUCUGCAUGAAUGACGGCCACUGCCUUCAUGGUCUCAAGUGCUGCAAGGGGGUAUGUGGGAAGUCCUGUGUUGAGCCAGUGAAAGAUGUAUUCUUGCCAGUUCAACAAGAUUAGGACUUCCCGGUACGUGUGGUCUGAGGAUUCCUUUGUUCCCCAAGCCCAAGAAAAAGGAAAGUGUCUUGAUGCAGGUGUGGCUCCAUGACAAACACCUCCAGGGUGCUAAUGUUGGGUCUGUUUUAUCCGUGUAUGCCCAGCAUCCAACGUGAGGCUUGGCACACAAGAGGAAAUGACAGUUCAUUAGUGAAUAAAUAAAGACCCAAUGUUUUCUCUGU